UGAACUACCCGCUUGGGGAACAUACUUCUUUAUAUGCCCAUACGGACCUGCGGAGCUGUGGAAUGUAAAGAAGUAUGUGUUUCAGGCGGGGACUCUCACCG
rnacentral:miRNA from 1 species